rnacentral:tRNA from 1 species
UGUGAGCUGGCAGAAUAAAUGUGUUUGAUUUAGGAUCAACUUAUAAGUAUAUAUACUUGCUUGCAU